GCAACACCAGACCUGAGCCACAUCUUCGACCUACACCACAGCUCACGGCAAAGCUGGAUCCUUAACCCGCUGAGUGAGGGUGUAGUUUUGCCACAAUCUGUGGCAUAGAUCAAAGAUGUGGCUAGAUCCGGUGUUGCUAUGGCUAUGGUAUAGGCCGGCAGCUGCAGCUCUGAUUCAACCCCUAGCCUGGGAACUUCCAUGUGCCACAGGUGCAGCCAUAAAAAGAAAAGGAAAAAAAUACGUAAAAUAACAAUAGCUCCAAGUGCCCUGUGCCAGGCUGUCUGCUAGGUAUUUCCUCAUCUCCUUUACCAACUCCCAUCAUUCUCCCAUUCUAUGGAAGAGGAAACUGAGGCACAGUGAGGGUGACGGACAAUGCUGGGCAACAGCAAUGCCAGGAUUCCAACCCAGAGCCCAACUGGACCCCGGUUACACCUGGCCCCCUCUCCUGCCAUCUCCACCCACCCCCGGCUGCCCCUUACCCCUUGCCCAGCCCCCAUGGGUGUCUCUUGGGGGGAGGCUCAGAAGUCCCAGUCAGCUCUGGAACCUGGUCCUGACUCCUAUCGCUUCCCACCUGGAGGGCAAUUCCAGUGCCGGACCCCUCGGUCUCCUCCCUGACAUGCUAUCAAGCCUCCCAGGGCAGAGCCGGUGACUCCCCCACCCUCUGAGAGAAGUGGGUACGGAGACUUUGGGGCCACUCUGGAGCUGUGGCACAGAGCUCCACAGACAGGCCCCUGGUUUCCAGGGGCCUGAAUUCCAUGCCCUGUGGAGCAGCAUCCCUGUACCGUGACCUGAGUGAUGGAGGGGAUGAAAGGGAGAAACCCCAGGUCAGUCCUGGCCUUACACGUGGUUUCCACUAGGAGGGACGGUCAGGCACCAUGACGGCCAUCUGCCUGGCCUCCUGGUACAGGAGUCCUAACACGGGGACACCUGACUCUGGGGGAUUUAUGGAGGGAGUGGGAGGCCCCAACUCCUCAGAUGUUUUAGGACAGCAAACAGGGCUAACUCACAGAUGAUUCACAGCUACGAGGGCUCCGCCUCUGAGGUCAGGCCCAUCCUAGGAUCGCAGAACUGCACUUGCUGGGCAGUUUAGAGCUACUGCUCUCACGGUGGCA
rnacentral:lncRNA from 1 species